rnacentral:rRNA from 1 species
UACAGAGGCCUCGAGCGUUUAAUCGGAAUCACUGGGCGUAAAGCGCACGUAGGCGGCUUUCUAAGUCAGGGGUGAAAUCCUGGAGCUCAACUCCAGAACUGCCUUUGAUACUGGAGAGCUUGAGUCCGGAGAGGUGGAGUGGAAACUCCGAGUGUAGAGGUGAAAUUCGUAGAUAUUCGCAAGAACACCAGUGGCGAAGGCGGCUCACUGGCCCGGUACUGACGCUGAGGUGCGAAAGCGUGGGGAGCA